rnacentral:rRNA from 1 species
AUUGAACGCUGGCGGCAGGCCUAACACAUGCAAGUCGAGCGGAUGAAGAGAGCUUGCUCUCUGAUUUAGCGGCGGACGGGUGAGUAAUGCCUAGGAAUCUGCCUGGUAGUGGGGGAUAACGUUCCGAAAGGAACGCUAGUACCGCAUACGUCCUACGGGAGAAAGCAGGGGACCUUCGGGCCUUGCGCUAUCAGAUGAGCCUAGGUCGGAUUAGCUAGUUGGUGAGGUAAUGGCUCACCAAGGCGACGAUCCGUAACUGGUCUGAGAGGAUGAUCAGUCACACUGGAACUGAGACACGGUCCAGACUCCUACGGGAGGCAGCAGUGGGGAAUAUUGGACAAUGGGCGAAAGCCUGAUCCAGCCAUGCCGCGUGUGUGAAGAAGGUCUUCGGAUUGUAAGGCACUUUAAGUUGGGAGGAAGGGCAGUAAGCUAAUACCUUGCUGUUUUGACGUUACCGACAGAAUAAGCACCGGCUAACUCUGUGCCAGCCGCCGCCGUAAUAC